ACGGGAGGCAGCAGUGGGGAAUAUUGGGCAAUGGGGGAAACCCUGACCCAGCAACGCCGCGUGAAGGAAGAAGGUCUUCGGAUCGUAAGCUUCUGUCCUUAGGGAAGAGAAAGAGACGGUACCUGAGGAGGAAGCCCCGGCUAACUACGUGCCAGCAGCCGCGGUAAUACGUAGGGGGCAAGCGUUGUCCGGAAUGAUUGGGCGUAAAGGGCGCGUAGGCGGCUCGGUAAGUCUGGAGUGAAAGUCCUGCCUUCAAGGUGGGAAUUGCUUUGGAUACUGUCGAGCUUGAGUGCAGGAGAGGUUAGUGGAAUUCCCAGUGUAGCGGUGAAAUGCGUAGAGAUUGGGAGGAACACCAGUGGCGAAGGCGACUAACUGGACUGUAACUGACGCUGAGGCGCGAAAGUGUGGGGAGCAAACAGGAUUAGAUACCCUGGUA
rnacentral:rRNA from 1 species